AUUGAACGCUGGCGGCAUGCCUUACACAUGCAAGUCGAACGGCCAGCGACGGGAGCAAUCCUGGUGGCGAGUGGCGAACGGGUGAGUAAUACAUCGGAACGUGCCCAGUAGUGGGGGAUAACCCGGCGAAAGCCGGACUAAUACCGCAUACGACCUACGGGUGAAAGCGGGGAUCGCAAGACCUCGGCGUUAUUGGAGCGGCCGAUGGCAGAUUAGCUAGUUGGUGGGGUAAAAGCCUACCAAGGCG
rnacentral:rRNA from 1 species